rnacentral:tRNA from 1 species
GGGGAUUUAGCUCAGUGGUAGAGCACUUGCUUAGCAAGCGCUAAGGUCCUGGGUUCGGUCCCCAGCUCCA